UGGGGAAUUUUGGACAAUGGGCGCAAGCCUGAUCCAGCCAUGCCGCGUGAGUGAAGAAGGCCUUCGGGUUGUAAAGCUCUUUUGUCUGGGAGCAAACCUUCGUGGCUAAUAUCCACGAAGCUGAGAGUACCAGAAGAAUAAGCACCGGCUAACUACGUGCCAGCAGCCGCGGUAAUACGUAGGGUGCAAGCGUUAAUCGGAAUUACUGGGCGUAAAGCGUGCGCAGGUGGUUUCGUUAGUCUGAUGUGAAAUCCCCGGGCUCAACCUGGGAACUGCAUUGGAUACUGCGAGACUAGAGUACGUCAGAGGGGGGUAGAAUUCCACGUGUAGCAGUGAAAUGCGUAGAGAUGUGGAGGAAUACCGAUGGCGAAGGCAGCCCCCUGGGAUGAUACUGACACUC
rnacentral:rRNA from 1 species